CCUGAAAAUAAGAAGCAUAAAAUCAGCUGAUUGGUGUUGUGCCACUGCUAAGCCAAAGCCCAGCUUUCAACUUCGGCUGUCUGGAACCACAGGUGUUUUGCCCUGUGCCCUCGUUCAAGGCUCAGGCACCUGCUCUGCCCCCUUGGGUCCUGCCAUCAAUCCCAUUUCCACACCAUACUUUCCUCUGGGUCUUCAUCCAGUGUUUUUUGCUACAGUGCUGAUCUCAGAUCACCAGUCUCAAAAGACUUCUACAUGAAGGUUCAUAUAACAGGUGCCUUAUGGACAUGACAGCUCUGGAUGCCCAUGACCUGCCCUGGGUCCUUCCCAUUGCUGCUGGCUGCUCUGCUCCCUGUUCUGAUUUAUGCAAGGCUCAAGGCAAGUCCUGUGUUGUCUCAUGGCUCCAUUUCUGCACCCUCAUUUAUAGAUGAAAAUUGCUCUCCCGCUCAAUGGGAACCCACUCCAGGUAAAGACAUGAGACAAUUGGGAGGGCUGGCAUCCCUGGCUCAGGGGGCAGCAGGCACAGACACUUCAGGCAAGGGGUGAAGAGAGACUCAUGGGGACCUCUGUGCUCGAUAUGCACUCUUCUAAUGGCAGAAUAAGAAGUAAAGUGAAGUCUUAAUUACCUAAGAUUAUUAGAGACCUCAUGGUUGCUUCAAAUCUGUAUCUUAAAUUCACUUUUCUGACUGGCUGCCACCUUCAGCAAAUAGUUCUGCUAUUUGGGGCUGGGAUCUUUGACGUAACCCACAGUCAAUUUGGGCUCUGCCGCAGUGAAAUCCCUCCACCCCUGCAUGUCUGCUGCUGCACACUGGGGCUCUAUGAACUUCCCUGCUGUCUUUUUCCAGACCUGCCCCCAGCUGCUGUAUUGAGCAGACAGGUGCUAAGGAAGUUAAAGCUGUGCAUCCCCCACCUGCAAAGCCCUGCACCCAAGGAAGACAGGUUUGGGCUGACGGGGCUGCACUCUGACAGGCGAGACGAAUGCAAGGAUGUGCUCUAAGUUGUUAUCUGUGCUCUGGCAAAGGAGCAGGAUGGGCGGUAGGAGAGGACGAUGCCUUCUACAGCUCUGGCAGGGCUUGGUCAAACUCAUCUACCUUGGCAGUAGUUGGCUGUGCAGAGCCAAUGCUGAGGUCCUCCAGGGAAUCUCAAGAGAGUUUUUGCCUUCUUGUUUGCCAACUCAGAUGUUCCACAUCAUGUAACUAGUUGAGAGCGUGGCACCACUCCCCUCCAAACUUAUUCAACACCAAUUUUACUCUUCAGCCACAGCAACCUAUGGUCAUCCCACUCAGUCUCUCCUCUCGAGGCAGUUCCCCUUUAUAUAAAACACAAACGUUCUCUGUGCCAGCACGAGGGAAAAGUGGUGGUCGAGUCCAGGCUGGCAACUGUGGGACCCAUUCCCAGUUGCACCAGGCUGCACUGUGUUACCACAUCCCUGGUAGCUGUAUCCCAAAGCCACUGCCCAGUACAUUUGUGCACCAGCUGAUAAUCCCCAGAGCUUCCUAUCAGGUCUACCGUGUGCAGAACUAGAGGCGAAGUCACCAGCUGCACAGGAGAGCGGCUGGGAUAAACGCAGACCCUGGUCCCAGUCUCUCCAAUGGGCCAUGCUCUCCCAGUAAGGAUUCGCUGGCUGAUGGCUACGACACGAGAAAAACAUCUUUCAGCAGGAAUAGCAUCAAGAAAAUCGCUUUUGUGCCUUACCACAAAGGGAUUCAGUGCAAUAUGUCCAUCUUCAGCUCUAAUGGAGAUCGGUGUCUUACUGAGGCUGCUCAAUCCUCUUCUCGGUGUUACAUUCUCCGACCACGGUCUGAAAGGUCUCCCGGAGGGCAGCUCUCAAGGAGAGGACACCAGAAUGGAAGCAACUGCAGCAUGAGUGCAGAGUCACUAGAGAAGAGGAAAUGUGUGACAUCAGCUCAAAGGAAAUGAGAAAUAAAAUAGCCUUGUAGAGGAAAGCAAUCAACCGCAGCAAAGAUCUGGAAAGUCCUUAGAGCUGUUUCCUCAGAACAUCUUCUGAUUAUCCCGAAAGAAGGCAGAGUUGGAAUUUUCCUUUAAAUGCAGAACAGGAAUCCACUCUUUGUCCCUGGGAUCAGAUAGCAUUUGAACAUCCUUCUCCUAAAUAGACGAAUGGCAGAAGCCAGAAGAGUUUUGACCCAAUAACUCAAAGAAAAGAAAGUGCCAGGAGACUCAUAUACCUCACAGACAGACUCAUUAGCAGAGUCUCCUUCACAUUUGUGUUCGGUGCAAACAGACCCAGGAAUAUUGCCAUGCCACAUCUCCUUUCAUCUCAAGGGCUUUCAGCAGGCACUGGGACACAGCAGCAUGUCAGAUCUUCUGGAUCACUGGCCAUCAUAUUCUGACCGCCACGACUGGGGCAGCCUGAGGAGCACUCAUCACAGGGAUGCAAAUUGAUGCGGUGCUCAGGAGGAUGCCAGUGAUAAGCAAAGCUGCAGGUACGGCCCCAGCUAGGCCAGCAUGUUCCAAAUGCAGCCCCCAUGCUGGGGGCUACUCUGCCCUCCAUGCGAGAGGCACCAGCAGUGCUGUGAAGGUGAACCAAAGACCCCAAUCCUCCUCAGAACGGCCAGAGCCCCAUUUGUGCCCUGCCUGUGACAGCGAUUCUGGGAACUUAAAUUAAAAA